UAAAGUACUUUCAGUCGUGAGGAAAGGUGUUAGGGUUAAUAACCUUAGCAAUUGACGUUAGCGACAGAAGAAGCACCGGCUAACUCCGUGCCAGCAGCCGCGGUAAUACGGAGGGUGCGAGCGUUAAUCGGAAUUACUGGGCGUAAAGGGCACGCAGGCGGUUAAUUAAGUUGAAUGUGAAAUCCCCGGGCUUAACCUGGGAAUGGCAUUCAAGACUGGUUAGCUAGAGUCUUGUAGAGGGGGGUAGAAUUCCAUAURUAGCGGUGAAAUGCGUAGAGAUGUGGAGGAAUACCGGUGGCGAAGGCGGCCCCCUGGACAAAGACUGACGCUCAUGUGCGAAAGCGUGGGGAGCAAACAGGAUUAGAUACCCUGGUAGUCCACGCUGUAAACGAUGUCGAUUUGGAGGUUGUAGUCAUGAACUGUGGCCUCCGGAGCUAACGCGUUAAAUCGACCGCCUGGGGAGUACGGCCGCAAGGUUAAAACUCAAAUGAAUUGACGGGGGCCCGCACAAGCGGUGGAGCAUGUGGUUUAAUUCGAUGCAACGCGAAGAACCUUACCUACUCUUGACAUCCAGCGAAUCCUUUAGAGAUAAAGG
rnacentral:rRNA from 1 species